AACGAACGCUGGCGGCAGGCCUAAUACAUGCAAGUCGAACGGAUGUAGCGAUACAUUAGUGGCGCACGGGUACCUAACGCGUGGGAACAUACCCUUGAGUAAGGAAUAAUGUCUGGAAACGGACACUAAUACCUUAUAAUGACUUCGGUCCAAAGAUUCAUCGCUCAAGGAUUGGCCCGCGUCUGAUUAGCUAGUUGGUGAGGUAACGGCUCACCAAGGCGACGAUCAGUAGCUGGUCUGAGAGGAUGAUCAGCCACACUGGGACUGAGACACGGCCCAGACUCCUACGGGAGGCAGCAGUAAGGAAUAUUGGACAAUGGGGGAAACCCUGAUCCAGCCAUGCCGCGUGAGUGAAGAAGGCCUUAGGGUUGUAAAGCUCUUUCAAUAGUGAAGAUAAUGACGGUAGCUAUAGAAGAAGCCCCGGCUAAAUUCGUGCCAGCAGCCGCGGUAA
rnacentral:rRNA from 1 species